GCAGACACAUUCCAGCCAAUCAGCAGCAGACCCUCCCUCCCAGACCCUCCCACCUCCUGGACAGCUCACUAAGAAUGCAGCUUCACAAAAUGGAUGCUGUCCAGGAGGUGGGAGGGUCUGGGAGGGAGGGUCUGCUGCUGAUUGACUGGAAUGUGUCUG